rnacentral:ncRNA from 1 species
GUUCAAUGCACGAAUAUCAAAAAGCUAAGAAAGGAACCAAAACACGAUAAUCAAUAUGUACAAACUCUAAACAAUAAGCAUCAUAACGUGCACCGUUGGGGAGGAGCAAGAGUGUACACGUUGAGACCCGAACGAUGAUGAACUAUGCUUGUGAAGGUUGAAGCCAGAGGAAACUCUGGUUGAGGACCGUAGUGAUUCUGACGUGUGAAAGACUAAUCGAACUAUCUAGUAGCCGGUUCCCUCCGAAGUUCCCCUCAGGAUAACUGGCAUUCUGAGAAAUAAACAGUUUUAUCCGAUAAAGAGAAUGAUUAGAGGGAUUGGAGAGAAAUCAUCCCUAACUUAUUCAAAAACUUUAAGUGGGUGAGAAGCUUAAUUCGCUUAAUUGGAGUUCUACAUUGAAUGUGAGUGCCAAGUGGGUCAUUUUCGGCAAGCAGAACUGGCGCUGUGGGAUAAACCAAACGUCCGGUGAAGGUGCCCAACACGACACUCAUGAGGUACCGUAAAGUGUUGGUUAGUCUAGAUAGUAGGACCGCGGCCAUAGACGUCGGAAGCCGCUAAGGAGUGUGUAACAACUCACCUGCCGAAUCAACCAGCCCUAAAAAUGAAUGGUGUUCGAGCGUUGAACCUAUACCGGACCGUUGCUGUAAGCUGAGUCUAUACUGUGUGGGGGCAAGCUGCACUUGGUUCAGACAUGGAGUGACGGUAACGACUAGGAGGGUCGAUGUGGCUAGCGGGGAACCUCAGGCGUGAGCAUAGGUGAAGCGACCACAGGCGCAGAU